AAUUAGCCGUAGGGCUGUCACCUACAUAAGUAGAUCCUAAGUCUAAAACAUUUUCUGCCAGGCUAAU
rnacentral:tRNA from 1 species